rnacentral:rRNA from 1 species
CCUAAAUCUUGAUGUUCCCUACACAAAAACAUCCGCCCGAGAACUACGAGCACAAACGCUUAAAACUCUAAGGACUUGACGGUGCCCCAAACCCACCUAGAGGAGCCUGUUCUAUAAUCGAUAAUCCACGAUACACCCGACCACUCCUUGCCAAAACAGCCUACAUACCGCCGUCGCCAGCCCACCUCCAUGAGAGCACAGCAGUGAGCCCAAUAGCCCAUACCCACUAACAAGACAGGUCAAGGUAUAGCCCAUGGAGUGGAAGAAAUGGGCUACAUUUUCUAAAAUAGACAAGCCUAACGAAAAGAGACUUGAAACCUGCCUCUAGAAGGCGGAUUUAGCAGUAAAGAGGGAUAACAAAACCCUCUUUAAACCGGCCCUAGGGCA